rnacentral:rRNA from 1 species
AUGUCGUCCCCACCACCACAGCGGCCACCACCCACCACCACUGCGCCCCCGCCUACCGCCACGCCCCCUCCUCCUCCGGCCACCGCCCCGCAGCCCCUGCCGCGCGCCUUCCUCGCCACCUCCGCCGCGCCGCAGCGUGCCGCCAACUCGACCCCGACCCCGUCGCCGCUCUUCACCGGCCGCCCAUUGAACCCUAACCCUAGCCACCCCUCCCCCGCGCACGGCAUCCUCUACCCCGUCGGCACAUCGUCCACCAUCCCCGCCGCCGCCGCCGCCGCGGCGAACCAUCGCCGCGCCCCCCACGUCGGCGUUGCGUACCCGCGCGCCCACGCCCACGCCGUCGCUGUCCCCGUCACAGCAACGUCUCAGCAGCCCCAGGCGCCAGCGCAGCAGCGGUCCUACGCAGCGGUGCCUUGGGCGGUGGUGGCGGGCGUGACCCCGCGCCCAGAACACCCUCCCCGAGGGGUUCCAAUAGCCCCGCAUCCUCAGCUCAAGGUUAAUGCUGUUCCAGCUGUUACUCCAUCUCUGGCUGCUACUCCAUCUCCAGCUGUUACUCCAUCUCUAGUUGUUACUCCAUCUCCAGCUGUUACCCCAUCUCCAGCUUUUACUCCAUUUCCUCAGGAGCAUGUCACCACAAAGGAAAGAGAAAGUACCAAAGAAAACGCUUCAACUGUGGUGAUCAAUGACCGCAAAGUUAACGUGUUAGACAGUGAGUCAGGAUCCUUGUAUGCUCUUUGUCGAUCUUGGCUACGCAAUGGUGUUCCACAUGAAAUUCAGCCAAGCUUUGUUGGAAACGUUGCACCACUUCUUCCAAGACCUUUGCCUGCUUCAGUUGUAGAUUCUAGGAUGUCAGAAAAGGACAAUGAUGUUGAGAAUCAAGUUUCAGAAGAAGAGCAGAGAUAUGCCCAAGAAAGGAACGCCCUGAGCACCAGAGACGCGAUGGACAGAGUAUUGACCAAUAAUGAUACUGCUGCUGAAUAUACUGUGGCUGACUUGUUGAGGGAGCAUGUAACUCGUGCAAAAAAUAUACGUGCCAAAUUGCGCAAGGAGCGGCAAGUCCGGAUUGAGAGAUACAAGCAGCGCCUUGCACUUCUUUUACCUCCACCACCACCCCCACCUAGCGAGCCAUGA